rnacentral:tRNA from 1 species
CAUGUCUCUGCCGCAGAACCAUGGGCGAGUGGAGUGUGCCGGCGCCCCCACAGGUUUGGCGCCUGAGAAGACCCGCGCAGAUGAUGGACGGAAGCCUCCGUGGGGGUGGUGCCAACAGCUGCUGUGGAGAGGAGCGAAGACUUGCGGUGAUGGCAUCGCUGCGCCUCCGGAGACACUCGCGAAAGCGGGAGAGACGACUCGUUCGUCGUCCCUGAGAGCCGCCUGUCGCUGCCUGCGGGGGUCGAAAACAGGCUUGUUCCUCGUCUAGGAAAAAGAGCAGAAGAAGCCUGAACGCUGGCCCUCGACAACCUCCCAGAGCCUGCCUCCACUUGCCACAGGCGCGGAUCCAUUGGCGCUGCCUCUGACGGUUCCCUGCCCAGGGAGGCGGCGCCGCCAAGGAAACGCAUGCAGCCCGGGCUGGAAGGGAGAAAAGACUCCGGGGGACAAGAGAGCAUCGACGCAAGUGCGACGGCUCAACAAAUCGAAGUGCAGUCAGCAGGUCGGUCGCGCCUUGGCUGUAGACUGUGGUCUUCUCGCGAGGAAGGACGAAGAGGGAGAGAGAGAGGACAGGGAGGACGGUGGAGAAGCGAGAGAGGGGGCGCGUCAGUCUAGCGGGGGGGAGGGGGGGGAGCGGCGGCGGCAGGGUCAGACAGGAGCGUCGAAAACAAAUAAGAAAUCAUCUGCGAACGCGUCUUGGUUGGUCCAUGAAGCGAGGAGCUCGGGAACGAGGGCAAGACGAGAUGCCAUCAGGACUCCCUCUCUCCCUAGCUCCUCGUCCACCGCUCUAAGGACAGAGACGCCCGAUGUAGAGCUCUGUCUUCCGAGAAAGUCCCCCGCCCCUCACAGGAGCAUCUUCAUAUAUGCGCAUGCACAUCGACAUUUAUAUUUAUACACAGAGGGAGGUGUAGGGAGAGUCAGAGAGGUCGGAUGCAGCAGACGGAGAGCAAGUUUCGCGUAGUUGUGGUUCCCGUUGGCAGCAGUGCGCAGCGAGAAAGCGAAGGUAAUCUUGCAAAGGACGGUCACCUGGAGGUCGAGAAGCAAGACGGAAGAGCAUUGCGGUCUCGAGCGAGAGCGGAAAACACCGACAGCAAAACGGAUGUCUUCCGGUUCGUUGGGCCGUUCCGAGCAGACACACCAGAGGGUCUUCCGUACCAGACAGGUUCGCGCGUGGAUUUCCCGAUCGCAAGUUCUGCACGCAACUCAUGUAGAAAGAAGUAGCAGCGUAGGCCGAUCGAUGCUGAAGUCGAAGAAGCGCGGAAUUUCUCAGAGCCCAUGAAGACUCCAGAAAAGGGUCUCUCUGCGUAGCAGACCAUGAACUUGGGUCGAUCUCGGAGUUGAAAGGAAGUCCGGCUUCCAAGGAGUGCACUUCAAAAAACGAGACGAGACUUCCAGAACAGAGUCCAGCGUUUCAACUCCCGACGGUUUUCACGGGAAAGCAGCCACUCUUUGGGCUUGCAGACAUCGCGAAGAGAUCGCAUCUGCCGAUCGGACAGAGGCAGGAAUUCCGAUGUGUGUUGUCGUGGCGAAUGUCUCGAAGCGGCUCCCCAGUUGCUUCGCUAAAAAAGAGAACGACCUGUUUCCUCUCAGACCCAAGGUGGACUGUUCGAUAAAGCUCUCGCCCGAUAAAAGUGGGUCUGGCCGUGCACCGAGGCAGAGGGGGAAACCGAGAGAGGCAGAGAGGACCGCGGAAACUCCGCAGAGAGGAAAAACACAGAGGAACGCUAAGCGUUGCGAGAAGCAGAAAUCAGCUGCGAUGCAUGUACAUUUACGCCGGGGAACAUUCUUCUGGUAGACUCCCAGCUGCGGACAGACUCAGAAGACACACACUUGCGUGUGCUUUUCUUGUCCGCGCCCUCCUUUUCUCAGCACCAUUUUCCUGUCCGUCGCCUUUGCACCUUGACUCGCUCCCGCCGUUGCCUUUCCAUAGACGGCGUCUAUCGACGAUGAGAGGAGAGAAAACGCGAAGGCGAGGGGACAAAGGUAGCGAAAGAAGAAAUUUCACAGACUGGAGUGAAUCUGUGGUAAGGUUGUCUUGGCAGAAACCAGCGUCCGGCAAACGCGUGCCACACAGCUAAUCUGGAACGGCGCAGUUGACAGCCUACCCAGUUCGAGUGGAGCAGGCCCAGAGAAGCGAGUGACCAAACAACGGAUGGAAAGGCAGUCUGAAUCUCAAUGACGCUCAAGCAAUUUCCGCUCUUGACAGUGAAAUCGAUACGUCGACUUCUCGUUCUCUCUCGCCUCGGCCCUCCGUUCGGGGUGGGCAACAGAGGAAUUUCCUCACUCCAGCCUCUUUAGCUCAGUCGGUAGAGCGCCAGCCUUUUAAGCUGGUGGUCAGGGGUUCGAGCCCCCUAGGAGGCUUUUAUGCCUUUUUUUCUGCUCAACUUGUCUCGUUUGUGUCUGCCGUUUGGUGGGAUUGUGUUUUCCCUGUUUCCUCCGAUCUGUAGCUCUUGCCAGCUGAAGACAGUGAUCAGCCUGAGUGGAAUUUAGUUUCAUUUGACCUUCGAUACGGGGUCCGCCGGAGACCCUCUUCUUCCUUUUUAGACUGGCGACGAGCUACUGAGUGCGUAGGGAAAUGACAAUCUAAAUCCUCAACGGUCCGCCGGGCAAUAAAGUAGAAUGUGGACUAGAAUAGAAUUCUUUUUUUGCGUAAAAAUGCGUGGAAACCUGACUUUCGAUUCGGG